CCCGCGCCAGCUUCUGCAGCUCGACGGGCACCACCGCGCUAGGGCAGUGCUUCUCGAUGUAGUCCUGGAAUCCCUGUACUCCCAUGGAAGAAAACUAGUCCAGAGCAUGUGCCACCAGGAGCCUGGCUGUCAGCAUCCUUGGAGUCAGGGAGGCACAGCAGAACUGAGGAUUGCCAGCUUGUGCUCAGCCACAAACACAAGCCUCCUUCCCCAAAGAAAAGAAGAGAGAGAGGAAAAGCAUAAGGGGAAACAAGCAAACACCUGCCUCAGCUGCCAGCCUGCUCCUACAAACCCCACACCUUGCACAGAGCAACCAAGCUGAGCUGAUGCCAGGAAAGUUAAGGUCUUGUAAGAGGUUCCCAGAUCAGGAUGAUGCAUGGGAAAAGCAUGCAGAUAAAGCAUCGUUUGCCCAAACACGUCAUCAGAAACUGACUUCCAAAAGUGUGCCUCUGCUGUACCAGGACAAAAUAUGCACUUAAGCCUUUGGGCAUAUGAGGUAAGUUGUUUCCCUUCCCCAUUCCAGUGGAAAAUCAACAAAAGCAAGCCUUCAAUAGCAUGAAUUCCAUUAUGACCCGCCUUAGCAGGCACCUAAAUCCUGCAGUGAUAAUUUAUCUUUGAACUCGUUAGUAGCGGUGCAUAAUUAACAAGUAGGCUGCAGGAACAUGCAGUUACUCUGUAUUUACCUGGUAUUUGCAGUUGUGGUGUAAUUACAGAGAUUAUACCUGCUCUCAGGAAUAGAAGUACAUGGUGUACCUCAUUUUGUGCCAUUUCACACCAGCAAAGCCGAGCCUGGUGCGGCAGAGCAAUGGAACAAAUGUUCCAUUCUGCAGUGGGUGCAAGGGAGCCACAGGUAGGGAGCAGGCAGGAGCCACGGUUCAGGGGCUGCCCAGGCUCACAGCCUGCCUGGUGCAGCUCACAGGGCUUGAAUUUGGGAAUGCCCCCCUCCCAGAGGUGUAGUCAACUUCAAUAUGCAGAUUCAAAGCAGGCAGGCAGAGUUUGGGGCUAUUUAGUACAGUAACUUUCCCCUCCAAUGUAUACUACUGUAGGUUUCUGUAAUAAUUACAGGAAAUGCGUGGAAAGAAUCUAUCUUCUUACAAAGUUUUAAUUUUAUUUUUAAGUUUGAUGCUAGCACAUCCCCAGUGCUUUGCCUUAGAACUCCAUUGGUAUCACAAUACCAAAUGUGAAGUUGCAACAUGUAGGUGCUGGGAAAAAAUACCAGCAUCAGUGGUGAAAAUGCAAAUAAAGUGUGAUCAACUCAGACACACAGAAUUAUUUAUGUGAUUCAGCAUAAACUAUAAGUAAAACUAAAUUUCAAGUUUCUAUUAUGCUUGAGAUCCAUAUCUAACAGGAAGGGGAAUACUGUACACAUCACUUGGUGCACAGAUUGCUGUGCCACUGCUCCAAAGCAGACUUUCCACUCAUGCAUGCAAUAUUGCCUUCUCCAAGGAGAAUGCACAGGCCUUUCUAGAGCAUGGAUACAGCACCACACUAGUUAAACAACUCAGCAGAAGAAACAUGGAUUUAUUUGCUGUUGCCAAAGAGUAAAAUUGCACUUCAGCAGACAAUAAAACCACCCAAGAGUUCCCUGUUCUGCUCCAGGUGGAAGGAAAAGUAGGGAGCUUUUCUAAAUGGAAAUUGUUGUUGUUCAGCUUAAUAAUAAUUUUCCUGUCUUGAGGGACGUGAUUUCUGAGUACAGUAAUUUCACGACUAUAAGGUGCAUCCUUUUGACUAAAACUUUCCCCCGAACCCAGAAGUGCGCCUUAU